rnacentral:rRNA from 1 species
UACGUAGGGUGCAAGCGUUGUCCGGAAUUAUUGGGCGUAAAGAGCUUGUAGGCGGUUUGUCGCGUCUGCUGUGAAAUUUCGGGGCUCAACCCCGAACUUGCAGUGGGUACGGGCAGACUAGAGUGUGGUAGGGGAGACUGGAAUUCCUGGUGUAGCGGUGAAAUGCGCAGAUAUCAGGAGGAACACCGAUGGCGAAGCAGGUCUCUGGGCCACUACUGACGCUGAGAAGCGAAAGCAUGGGGAGCGAACGG